AGAAAGUCAUUAGGAGAUGCAAUCAGCUCGGCCCUUGGCCCCCAUUAUUCAGCCUGAGUGCACGGGCACAUGGAGUGACAAAUGAGGCAACUAAAUCAUAAUUGCUGCGAGCCCCGAUGGCCAGUGGCCAGUGGCCAGUGGAUCCACUCAGCUGAGCCCCAAACCAACUUUAAAUUAUUUCGCAUAAUUUAUUGGCCAACAUGCGAGGCCCACCGAUUGAGCCGGAGCAAGAGGAAAAUAUAUCAUUAGCAGGCAGCGGAGACAGCACACAAAACAUGUAAAUAUAUGUACAUGUGGAUGCACUUUGGUGCAUGUAUUUUUAAGCGCUCAUUAAUUGCAUUUUCGCCCUAAUAGGUCCGCGGUGCAUUGAGGCAGAGAGCCCGUGGGCUUUCGCGGCACACUGCAACUGCAAAUGCUGAUUCCAGAUCCAGAUCGAAGCUCGUAACAAUCUUUUGCUCACAAAGUAUCUGUGAGGAGUAUCUGUCACAGUUGCGAAUGAAGCAGAGCAAUCGAUAUCCUGCCAGAGAGCGAGUCCUGCUGGCAGUUGCACUUUAAUUAACAUCAACCCUGCCUCGCCCUGAGCCCGGUGCAUCAUCACAUAGUCAAAGCUGGAAAUUGUUUUCAUUACUCUAAAGGAGUGGCAGCAACGGCAGCAGCGCCCUUAUCCAUGAUGAGGCUCCGCAGCAGCCCAGAUUUGCAUUAACCAGACGUAAAGGGGGAUGAAGGGAUGAGCUGAAAGCAAAUGGGAAUGGGAUUGCGAAUGCGAAUGCGAAUGCGAAUGCGGAUACCAUCAACAGUUUGAGAGCACUGAGUUUGGGGUUGGAAUGGGCUUGAAGUAAAGGAAAAAGGUAAGGCAAAGGUACGGCUGAUGCUGAUGCUUUCGCGCCAUAAACAAAAACUCAUUAACCCAAUUUCAAUAUUAACGCAAAGGAAAGUGCAGCGAUGCCAGAAGCAAACAGAGCGGACGAGCAGAUAUUAAAAACGAGUCGGAACCCGAAGAGGGGGGCUUGCGGUGCCACCACAGAGCCGAAAAUCCAUUCGCAAAAGUGAACUCCGCCA
rnacentral:lncRNA from 1 species